rnacentral:rRNA from 1 species
AACGAACGCUGGCGGCAUGCCUAACACAUGCAAGUUGAACGAGACCUUCGGGUCUAGUGGCGCACGGGUGCGUAACGCGUGGGAACCUGCCCUUAGGUUCGGAAUAACUCCCCGACAGGGGUGCUAAUACCGGAUAAUGUCUUCGGACCAAAGAUUUAUCGUCUUUGGAUGGGCCCGCGUUGGAUUCGCUAGUUGGUAGGGUAAAAGCCUACCAAGGCGACGAUCCAUAGCUUGUCUGAGAGAAUGAUCAACCACACUGGGACUGGGACACGGCCCCGACUCAUACGGGAGGCAGCAGUGCGGAAUAUUGGAAAAUCGGCGAAAGGCUGAUCCAGCAAUGCCGCGUGAGUUAUGAAGGCCUUAGGGUUGUAAAGCUCUAUUACCCAGGAUGAUAAUGACAGUACCGGGAGAAUAAGCUCCGGCUAACUCCGUG